GCAAUGGUACCCGACGACCAGAUAGGUCGAAUGUGUAGAACAACAUCCUUAGAACCCAUACGGAUAUAGUUUUCAUAUAAUUUAUCCCCUUGAUCAAAAUGAUCAUAGGACACCUCAGAGUUUAACUGUCAACUCUGAUCAGGUUGUCCACAUUGUAUUUCAAAAUAUCAAAUCCAUCUGAUGGAUUACCCUGGCCAAGGUUUUGCUAAAUUGAAAUACAGCGACUCAUUCUUCUCCAACUCUUGAAGUGGUCAAUCCCAUCUCGAUCACACUCUAACUUCACAAGUACUUGACUGUGUCCAGAAGCCUUCCGUUCCUGAAUUAGAAAUUCAGUUAGUCCAGUACUAAAGCACAGUGAGUUGCUUGCAAGUCACUGAGGCGAUCUCAAGUCUAAGGGACACUUAUACCUAUAUCCCAUCAGAGACAUUCUCGAC
rnacentral:lncRNA from 1 species